AAAAACUCCGGUGGUAUGAGAUGGGCCCGCGUCUGAUUAGCUAGUUGGCGGGGUAACGGCCCACCAAGGCAACGAUCAGUAGCCGACCUGAGAGGGCGACCGGCCACAUUGGGACUGAGACACGGCCCAAACUCCUACGGGAGGCAGCAGUGGGGAAUAUUGCACAAUGGGGGAAACCCUGAUGCAGCGACGCCGCGUGAGCGAUGAAGUAUUUCGGUAUGUAAAGCUCUAUCAGCAGGGAAGAAGAUGACGGUACCUGACUAAGAAGCCCCGGCUAACUACGUGCCAGCAGCCGCGGUAAUACGUAGGGGGCAAGCGUUAUCCGGAUUUACUGGGUGUAAAGGGAGCGUAGACGGCGGUGCAAGCCAGAUGUGAAAGCCCGGGGCUCAACCCCGGGACUGCAUUUGGAACUGUAUGGCUGGAGUGUCGGAGAGGCAGGCGGAAUUCCUAGUGUAGCGGUGAAAUGCGUAGAUAUUAGGAGGAACACCAGUGGCGAAGGCGGCCUGCUGGACGAUGACCGACGUUGAGGCUCGAAAGCGUGGGGAGCAAACAGGAUUAGAUACCCUGGUAGUCCACGCCGUAAACGAUGACUACUAGGUGUCGGGCAGCAAAGCUGUUCG
rnacentral:rRNA from 1 species